AUAAGGUUCAGCAACCUGAUCUUUGAUUCAGAUCUUAGAAAAAUGUCAAUCCACUUUUCUGAGUCUUCAAAAGAAAACUUCCUUCAAAAGUAACGAAGAGAAAAGCCUUGGUAUCCCUGAUAUCUCUAAGAAGCAAAACGACACGAGGUAAAUUCUGAAUUAUUCCGCAGCACCUCUAACGCUGCUCUGCCAAUGUACCACACAUGAGAUUGAACAACCUUGGAUUAACUCAACAUAUUCUGAUGCAGUUACCAGGGAACUCCUUGACAGCUGAUUGACCCUUUGAUGAGGCAAAAGCCUCACAUCUGUAAUGGGUUUUCCAUCUGCCAGUUUUCCCAGGUCACCUCAUCCAUCCUCAACUCUGCAGAGGAAAAAGCAAUAGAAGAAGCCUUGUGGUUUAGUAUUUUUAAUUUUAUUUUCCUAUUUUAGCUUCCAGCUGUAAUUAAUUCUCUUGCAACGCCAUAUCUGCCUGUUUAGGGUAAAGGAAAGGGGGAAGACGGAGGUAAAAAGUGAAGUCACUCUUCCUUUCCCAGUAAAAGGCAGAAUCUGGUAGAUGCCGGUUGAGAACAGUUGUAGCUUCUCAGGGGAGUCUCUCCCCCACUGCAAAACAUUUCAAGUAAGAGCGAAGUGCUGCUGUUGCUCAACUGGCAGCGUUCCUGCAAUUGGCCUGGAAUUUUGUGGGUUUGGUUCCCACACCAGGACUCAGAGCAUGUCUGCACUGCAAUUAAACACCUGUGGCUGGUCUGCAUCAGCUGACUUGGGCUCAUGGGACUCAGGCUAUGGGGCUGUGAAAUUGUGGGGGUUGACAUUCAGACUUGGGUUAGAGCCCAGGUCCUAAGACCCCUUAAGGGGGGGGGGGCUCCCAGAGCAUCUCCACCACAUGGUUUCAGUCCCAAAGCCUGCAAGCCUAACUCAGCUGACACCAGUCAGCCAUGGGUGUUUCAGCACAAUGUGGAUAUACCCAUAUGCACAGGUGACAUUGCAUCAUGUUACUGGGAGAUGCUGCAAUGUUACUGUCAUCCUGUUAGCUCCUAAAGGCAGGGACAGUCUACCGUUUGCACAGUGCCUAGCACAAUAGCAUCCUGAUCUUGGUUGACCCUUAGAUACUACCUUAACUAACACGAUUAUUAACAAUAGUAGUUGCUACGGUUCAUUUUUAAAUACUAAAGAACAUGGCCCCUGGUCCUAGUCACUGUUCCCUCUGUCAUGGCCCAGAAGGUAGGGCACUGGACAGGGAGUUAAAAUACCUGGGUGCUGUCCUCCCAGCUCUGCCACUGACCAGAUGUGUAUCCUUGUGCACAUUACUUUGCCUGUUUCUGCCUCUAUUUCCUCUCCCAUACUUUGCUUGCCUUGCCAGUAUAAACUGUAAGCUCCUUGUGGCAGGGACUUUCUAAUACAGAGUAAGAGAAAGCGUGGCACAAUGAGUUCUUAAUCUUGUACCAUAAUACAAAUAGUAAUCCUCUAAUGUCUAAGGAUGUGUGUAAACUAUGGAUGGUUAAGUGCCUAGUGACUUCCUUCCAUGAAUACACGGAUAGUGUCUGCACCAUUGGCAACAAACUCUUUUGCUUUUUGAAGCAUUUUGGGAUGGCAUUACUAGGAAAGACAAAUUUUUUCUUUUAUACUUUUAAAAAAAAAUUAAACAACACUUAAACUCUCCUUUUACAAUUACAUAGCAAAGAAAAACUAUGAAUGUUAUACUGAAGAAUCCUCAAAAGUACAUUUUCAAAAGGUUUUGUUGGAGGGCAGGUUCUAGUAUCCCUUCCUGCUGCAUGCACACAUCCAACCUGUUGGAAUGGGGAGAGGCUUUCUCAGACAACGUAACCUGAUUGGAAUUGGAAGAAGCAUUUCUGAAUUAUUAAUUGUAAUAGUUCUUAGGAGCCCCACCUAUGUACCAAUACCCCACUAGGCAAGGCACUCCAGGCAUAGUCACUGAAAGGAGAACCAGAACUAGUUUAUAUAUUUAUCUGAAGCAAUCGGUGGGUACAUCUGUAUGUGUUUGUACAUGUAUCUGCUACAGCUAGUAGAGUGCAGCAUGACUUUUUGUGCCGGCAGAGUCAGUAGCAAUAAUAUCUAUGGGUUGGAUGCUACUGUCAGCAUGAACAGCAAUAUUCAGCAACAUCUUCAGCCUCUAGGUGGAUUUAAGAUCUGGGUCUAUGCAGACCACAUUGCAACAAUCUACUCUUCAGGUGAGACAGGCAUGGAUCGUGUGGUGAGGUCCGCAUCUGAGAGGAAAAAGCAGCAAGCUCUUGCAUGGGAAAGAGAGCCAUCUUGGCUGAGAUUCCAACCAGAUUCCUGAGCUGCAAAUGUGAGUAGUAAAUGUCAGAAUUCUGAAGUCUUAUUCAUCCACCUGCACAUUCACUAAUGUGGUAUAUGCCAUCGAGGGCCAGCAAUGCCCUUCUGCUAUGAAUAUUGGCCAAACCAGACAGUCUCUAAACCAAAGGAUAAAUGGACACACAUCAGGAAUGGCAACACACAUAGAUAAACCUGUAGCGGAACACUUUAUGCUCCUGGACGUUCAGUAAUUGAUUUGAAAGUGCUUCUACAAAGGAAUUUGAAAAACUGGUUACAAAGGGAGACAGCUGAACUAGAGUUCCUUUGCAAAUUCAGUACUAUCAAUUUAGUUAAUGCACUGCAAAAACAUUUUCUCCUUCAAGUGGUCCCCAUGGGUGCUCCACUCUGGGCACUGGUGCAUCCUCACACCGGCAACCGGAGACUUUUUCUAGCAGUUUCUACCAUGCUGCACACGUGCCGCAGCGCCCCCUUGUGCUGUUGGAAUCCAUUAGGUGCGUGCAUGGCGCGGCUCCUCAGUUCCUUCUCUACCGUCCUCGGCAGCAGACAGAGCCUUUUGAUCUCUCAAAUUUCUGUUAAAAAAAUAGACAAGUACCCAGUUAAUCCCUAUAGUUUACCUCAUUAUCUAAGUUAUUUCAGCUCCUUUU